rnacentral:lncRNA from 1 species
CGAUGUUUCACAGAGUGGGGGAAAUGAAAGCAUCCCCCUGGAGCACCUGAAAUCACCCACACCCAGUGUAACUUGUUGUAUGGAGCCCUUGGGAAUUUUGCCCAGGGAUGGAAGGCUCUGGAUGGGAAGCUGCUGCCCCUUGGAAUGGAUGUGAUGCACUUCAUAAAAUCAUGCCAGUGACUUCAGGCAGUUUAAAAUAG